rnacentral:rRNA from 1 species
GCGUGAGUGAUGAAGGCCUUAGGGUUGUAAAGCUCUUUCGCCCGCGACGAUGAUGACGGUAGCGGGAGAAGAAGCCCCGGCUAACUUCGUGCCAGCAGCCGCGGUAAUACGAAGGGGGCGAGCGUUGUUCGGAUUUACUGGGCGUAAAGGGCGCGUAGGCGGCCGAUCAAGUCAGGCGUGAAAGCCCCGGGCUCAACCUGGGAAUUGCGCUUGGGACUGGUUGGCUUGAGUUCGGGAGAGGAGCGUGGAAUUCCCAGUGUAGAGGUGAAAUUCGU